rnacentral:lncRNA from 1 species
AAUGGAACCAUAGCAACAGAGUUGUCAUAGGUAAGACGACUAAUAGCAGAGGUUUGGAACCUUGUGUUAAAGGAAGUAGCUUCAUGGGUUUGAAGGAAAAGUUUAAACAAGUCAGGGGUUGAGGCAACAAUGGUAGGCAUGGAACCAAAGUAAAGAGUGUACAAAGGGCCAUAACGUUCUCCUAACUUGAUAAGAGUGUGGUGAAGAAGAGGGUUAUCCAAAAGGUGAAGAUGACCAAUGGAUGGAAGACGAGGUUUGGGACUCGGAGGAUUGGGAAGGUGGCGAAGAGCCUUUGAUUUUGCAGUAGGUGUUGGACGCAAGUGUAAGAAGAGAGCAAUGAGCAAUAGAGUAACUGCAAGUUCCACCAACAUGGUGUAUUGUAGUAUAUUUACUUUAAGUUGUUAAGUAUAAUAAGAAGUAGAAACAAUGUUCUUAUUAGGUGUUGAGAACAAAUAGGAUGUAUGUUUUGCUCUGAAGUAAAAGGUUUCCCACAUUUCCCUUUUAUAAGCCUCAAGUAAAAGGGCAAUUGUGAUCAAAAUAUUUGUCAUUCUUCAAAAUAAAAUAUGGCGGCUUACGUACUCCUAGUGAAAGUGAUUGCUCUAUUUUGAAAAAAAUAACCAUAUCACAUGCAGGUUCUAUAGUCCAAGAGAGACGUGGUUGCACUCUACACUACUAGUGAGCUAUGUGUAUUACCACCACCUACUAAUUUUUCUAUUUAGUCCAAGAAAGAUGCGGCCGCAUUUUUUAAAAAUAUUUUUCCAGACUCCAGUUGCGACUCGAUUAUGAACCCCUGGUCAAAUACUGUUUGACUCGAGGGCUGCAACAUAUUUUGGCUUCGGAACAAUGCACCAAACACAUGCACUUUCAAUUGUGGUUUUGAAAUAUACACAAAAAUAUUUAAUCUCAAAUUUAUGGAUUUUUUAUUUAGGGUUAAUUAAGUUUUUGAUCCCUAUAAAUAUCUGCAGUUUUGUUUUUUGUCCAUAUAAAAAUAAAUCACAUUUUUUAGUCCCUACAAAAUUUUCCGUUAGUGUUUUUAGUCCCUGUUAAAAUAAAAUUUGUUUAAUUAUGCUUAAAAUUUUAAAAAUUUUAAUGAUUUUUUACAUACUUGUUUAAAACAUUAUAAAAGGUUCCGCCACAAUAAAUUAGCUCAAAAUUUUAUUUUUAGGUCCAAAUUUUCGUCAAUUUUAUCUUGAAUUUUGGGUGUUUUAAAAAAAUUAUAUUUAAUUCAUUACAUGUUUAAAAAUUUUAAUUUUUUUUAAAAGAGAUUAUUAUAAUGUUCUUAACAUGUCUGUUAAAAAUCAUUUAAAAAUAUAAAAGUUUAAGUAUAAUUAAACAAAUUUUAAUUUAAUAGGGACCACCACAUACUUUUAGUCCUUGUAAAAUUAAAAUUUGCUUAAUUGUGCUUAAACUUUUAAAUUUGUAACAUAUUUUUCAUAUACUUACUUAGAAUAUUAUACAAAGUUCCUCCGCAAAAAAGUAACUUAAAAUUUUAUUAUUAGGUCCAAAUUUUCAUUAAUAUAAUCUUGAAAUUUUGGCUUUUAGAAAAAUUCAUAUUUAAUUCAUUAUAUGUUAAAAAACUAAUUUUUUUUUAUAAAAGAGUGUCUUACGAUAUUAUGAACAUGUAUGUAAAAAAUCUUUCAAAAAUUUAGAAGUUUAAACUUGUCAUUUUGUUUAACAGGGGGUCAAAAUCGUACUUUUUUAAACUUAAAAGGGAAAAGUACACUUUAGCCUAAAUUUUUAGUCUCUAUCUUUCAAAAAACAAAAUUAAUCUCUAUAAAUAUUUUAAAUUUUAUUUUUAGUUCCUCUAAAAUUCUUUAACAAGUUUUGAUCAUCAAAUGUUUUUUUCACAACUUUUGAUUCAGAUUUUAACUAAACUUAAGCGUAUCCUUUACAUUUAUAAAUGAAGUUUAAGUGUAUAUAAUAUAUAUUAUUGUCAAUGAAUUUGAUUAAAAAUAAAUAAGAAUUAAAUGUAUUUUUUCUGUGGGUUUUUCUCUUAUUGGAUAUACAUGGAAGAUUAGAAAAAAGAGCAAUGUUAUUUAAAUAUCAAUUUGAUUGACAAUCACACUGACAAUCAUAUUUUUACAAAGAAAAACAUGUGUUGGCACAAAAAUCAAAUCAAUAGAAAGAGAAAGUAAAAAUAUAAUAAAAAAAAAUUAUCACAAAAGUUAUUAGAAAAUAGAUGUACAAAUAUCAUUUCUCUAACAAAACAUGACCCAUUGUUCUUCUGCAUUCCUGGUUACAGUUGAGAAGGUCCCACUCAAAUUUUGUCCUUUACUGCACAUGUCUACAAACACAAACUAAUGCAUAAUGGUCCCAUGAGUGCGUGUUUGGCUGUCCGGUAGAAAUAAUUGAUUUUGAUAAGAUUCAUUCCGUAAAAUUGAUAUUAGUUAAAAAUGAUUUUGAAUAAUUUUUUUUUUUUUUUGCGUUUAGAUACAUUCAUUUUAAAGUGAGUUAACAAUAAAUUAAUGUGUGAAAAUCAAUUAUUAAACUUAUUAAAGAAAACAGAUAAAAACAAAACCACUUAGUUGGAGCUUCUUGCCUAAGUUUCUCUCGUUGCGUGGCAUCUUUGAGAAGCUCAUGAUGAGUAUUUGAUUAAAAAUAAAUAAGAAUUAAUUGUAUUUUUUCUGUGGGUUUUUCUCUUAUUGGAUAUACAUGGAAGAUUAGANCUUAAUUGUGCUUAAACUUUUAAAUUUGUAACAUAUUUUUCAUAUACUUACUUAGAAUAUUAUACAAAGUUCCUCCGCAAAAAAGUAACUUAAAAUUUUAUUAUUAGGUCCAAAUUUUCAUUAAUAUAAUCUUGAAAUUUUGGCUUUUAGAAAAAUUCAUAUUUAAUUCAUUAUAUGUUAAAAAACUAAUUUUUUUUUAUAAAAGAGUGUCUUACGAUAUUAUGAACAUGUAUGUAAAAAAUCUUUCAAAAAUUUAGAAGUUUAAACUUGUCAUUUUGUUUAACAGGGGGUCAAAAUCGUACUUUUUUAAACUUAAAAGGGAAAAGUACACUUUAGCCUAAAUUUUUAGUCUCUAUCUUUCAAAAAACAAAAUUAAUCUCUAUAAAUAUUUUAAAUUUUAUUUUUAGUUCCUCUAAAAUUCUUUAACAAGUUUUGAUCAUCAAAUGUUUUUUUCACAACUUUUGAUUCAGAUUUUAACUAAACUUAAGCGUAUCCUUUACAUUUAUAAAUGAAGUUUAAGUGUAUAUAAUAUAUAUUAUUGUCAAUGAAUUUGAUUAAAAAUAAAUAAGAAUUAAAUGUAUUUUUUCUGUGGGUUUUUCUCUUAUUGGAUAUACAUGGAAGAUUAGAAAAAAGAGCAAUGUUAUUUAAAUAUCAAUUUGAUUGACAAUCACACUGACAAUCAUAUUUUUACAAAGAAAAACAUGUGUUGGCACAAAAAUCAAAUCAAUAGAAAGAGAAAGUAAAAAUAUAAUAAAAAAAAAUUAUCACAAAAGUUAUUAGAAAAUAGAUGUACAAAUAUCAUUUCUCUAACAAAACAUGACCCAUUGUUCUUCUGCAUUCCUGGUUACAGUUGAGAAGGUCCCACUCAAAUUUUGUCCUUUACUGCACAUGUCUACAAACACAAACUAAUGCAUAAUGGUCCCAUGAGUGCGUGUUUGGCUGUCCGGUAGAAAUAAUUGAUUUUGAUAAGAUUCAUUCCGUAAAAUUGAUAUUAGUUAAAAAUGAUUUUGAAUAAUUUUUUUUUUUUUUUUUUGUGUUUAGAUACAUUCAUUUUAAAGUGAGUUAACAAUAAAUUAAUGUGUAAAAAUCAAUUAUAGAAUCAAAAAAUAAUUACAAAUUCUAACUUAAAGUAAAAUCAGCGUAAUUAAUUCAACUCGACAAUAACUAAAUAUGUUGCAAUCAAUACUACACUUCAAAAUUAAUUAUAGCCUAUCUAAAAGUGAAAUCCAACAUACACAUAAACAUGUUGAUAUGUGAAAAUUUUGAAUCACGAUGCCAUAGAAUCUAGAUAUAUUCACAAAAUUUUAAUAAUAAAAACUAUAUAUAUGUGAAAUAUUUAUAAAAGAAAAUAAUUAUGAUAACAACUCAAUAUAGAACUUUAACUUAAAAAAAAGAACUCAUUAUAGAAUUUUUCUAAUGUUGAGCUGGUAGCAUGAGGACACCGUAAUUCUCAAUGUUGAUGGAAGUGCUUUGAACAAUCGAGGAAAGACGGGAUAUGAUGGGUUAAUACGUAAGCACGAUGGAAGUUUCCUUUGGUACCAUGGAGAUCUCGAAUAUUUUACAUGUUGAGAUUGAAAAAAACUUACCUACUGUUCUUUAUGAACGGUUGGUGCUGUUUUAUGUUGAUUCAUAAAAUAAACUGCUUCAAACUGUGUAAACAAACACAUCUAAAACAAUGUCGUUUUAUUUAAUUUUUUUUUUGAAAGAACAAUGUCGUUUUAUUUAAAUUUUGCGAAGAAUCGGUUGAACAGUAGGUAAGACCCUAUAUGCAAGUUUUUCACGUUGAGAUUCAAGCGUAGUUGACUGGUAUAAAGUUAUGUUGGGAGGCAGAUUAUAGAAAGCUUAUGUGUUUCUCCGACUCUCUUCAUGUGGUACAGUUGGUGAUGAAAGACAUCUCGAGGUUUCAUCAUUAUGCAAAUCUCUUGAAACUCAUCCAUAAUUAUGCAUAUCCUUCAGGAAGGAAACUCUUGCGUUGAAUAUCCUUGCUAAGUUAAGAGCUAAUAGUUCAGACCAUCUUAUUACAUUUGAUGAACCUCUUUCGUAUUUAUCACAUACUUUACUAGUCGAUGCUUUAGGCGUGUCCUUUUCAAGGACUUAGUUUUCUUCUUUUUUCUUUUUCUCAUGCAAAAAAAAAUAAAAAAAAUAAUACUAUAGUCUCUACGUUAGAAUAUCAACUUAAACGAGUUUUCAAAAAAAGAAUAUCAACUUAAAUAUCACUAAAAAAGCUCAAAAUAAAACCUCGUCUAAACAUCGGUGUACAUACGAGUUUCUCACAUAUAUUUUUAGAUACGUAUUCUCGAAUAUUUUUGAAGUAUUCGAUACGAAUCCGAUAAAAUAUUUUAAAAAAUAAAAUAAAUGAAUUUAAUACAUUUAAACUAUGUAUUCUAUGAGCUUAGCUCAGUUGACAGAAAUAUUACAUAUUAUACGUAGGAGUUGGAGUUCGAACCGAGACACCACAUACUAUUUAACCAAAAAAAAAAAACUACAUAUCCGUGAGUAGUCGGCAUCACACGUAUCCAAUUUUAAAUUAUCUGCUCGACUUUAUUGCCGAUAAGCAUCCAUCCAAUAAUUACAAAUAUUCUAGUCCAGAGGAGACCGAAGCCAAGUCUUCAUCGUUUCGUUACAUAUAGAUACAAAAUGAUGGUUUAUAUGCAUGUAAAUUGGAUGACACAGCAGGCCAAUAUAAAUUGUUAUAAUUAACUAUAACUAUUUCUAUCAUGUUAGUUAGUUGGUUAAUUCAAUUUUAUAUUUUAUAAAAGAAAAUCAAUUUUAUAUAAUAAUAUUCUGGUUCAAGUACAUGUUGUAGAUAGAACAAUACUCAUAUAUUUAUUAAUGAUUGUAUUUUUAAUGCUUAUUUAUUUGUUUUUGUUAAUAAUUUAACAUACUUAUUAUUGGAACAUAAAAAGAACAUAAAAUAUAUAUUUACAUUCAUAAAUUUAUAUCAUUUUGCUAGCUAUAUCUUCAAUAAUACUAGUAAAAAAGAACUUCAAUAAUACUUUUCAUUAACAUUAUUCCUAUAAAUUUCAUUUUCUCAAACAUAUUUAAAAAAAUUCAAAUAUUGUUCACGUAUAUAAACACAAGAUAAUUACUUUGAUAAUGAAACACAAGAUAUAUAGAUAUAUCAACGAGCUAAUCUAUGAAAUGUGAAAUUUCAAGAGUACUUUGAGAAUGACCAAGUAAAAUACAUUGUUGUCCCUAGAAAUGGAUAGAUCCCUCUUGCCUUCUAAGUAUAUGCUUUUAUAGCCUUAUGAGCGGUCAAGUCGAGCUAUGCAUGCAUGUUGAAUGGUGGAGAUGAGCUUAGCAUAAGUUGAAUAGUCAAAGUGUAAGAAUCCACGUGGUGUCCUUCGUACCAGUCCAUAGUCCACCAAACGUCAAGUCUUUUGCAAUGUAGUUGUUUAUUCUUCGCCGGGUCGACUUGUACAUGUAUCAGUUCAUAAUUCACAAAGCGUCACGCAUGUUAGGGCAUAGACAUUUGUCCUUCGUCAGGUUGACUUGUAUCAAAGUCCAUCAAACGUCAAGUUUGUUAGGGUGUAGACAUUAGUCUUUCGUCCAAUGGGAAUGUAUUGGUUUUCAACACACAUUUGUUCAUUAUAUGAACUAUGGAGAGUUACAACAAAUUUGGAAAGAUAAACCAAGAGUACAGUAUUGGUAUUAAUGGAUACGUUGAUACAAAUUAUAGAUUUGUACGCUCUUACAACACUUGUUUUGUGGAAAAAGGAAAACAGAAAAAGAAGAAAAUUACAUCAUACGUACUAUCGUAGUAUGUAGUAUGUAUCCAUGUGAUUCACUGAAUCUCAAUGAUAUCUUAUUGAAGAAAGGUCAAUACAAUAUGAAACAUCACUCAUGGACCAUUUGUGUUGUACGUGUAUGUUUUAUCAGGAAAGGAGUUUAGCAGCAACACCAGCUCUUGCAAGUGGAACACACAUGAGAUUAUGUGCUCUUGGAACCGUAAGACCAGGUCUCUCAUCCAUGCUAACCUUAACAUCAUCACCUUUCAAUAUUUGUCCAUGUGGGCCUGGUACUUGUAGAUCAAAACACUGAAUAAUUGAUGAAAGUAGUGUUGCCAUUCCUGCUGUUGCCAAAUUGACUCCAGGACACAUCCUUCUUCCAGACCCAAAUGGUAGAAGUGUGAAAUGUUGACCCCUAAGAUCAAUUGAAGCUGCUUCACCUUCACCUUGGCUUGCAUUUUCUAAGAACCUCUCUGGACGAAAUUCCAAUGGUUUUUCCCAAUAUUUUGGGUCUCUUCCCACUUGCCAUACAUUGAAAAGUAUCAAAGCUCCCUCCGGGAUCACAUAACCAUUGAUCUCACACUCUUCGGUGCAUUUUCUCUUCACCACGGGUAGUGGUGGGUGCAAACGGAAUACCUCCUUCACCAUGGCGCGAAUGUAUGGAAGAUUCUGAACAUCUGAUUCGUCAACUAGUCUAUCUUUUCCCACAACAGAGUCAAUCUCUUCUUGUGCUUUCUUCCAUACUCUUGGAUUGUUGAUGAGCUCUGCCAAAGUCCAUUCUGUUGCCACAGCUGUGGAAUCUGUCCCUGCAGAGAAGAAAUCCUGCAAACAAAGGAAUUUAACUUAGCAUAUAAUGGAGAGAGAAAAUCUUAUCUAAAAUGUAAUAUACUCUCAUCGGUCACUCUUACAAGCAAAAAACCACUUCUUAGGUUCAUUGAAUGAGUAAUGGAUGUGGUCAUUUUUUCAGUGAACCUAAAAAAUAGUUUUUUUGAUUAUAAUAGUGACCGGAGGGAGUAUGUAUUUAACACCAAAGCAAUUAGAAGAAAAGAAACUCACCACAACAAGACCCUUGAUUUGUUCCUUUGUAAUUUUGAUCUCCAUGGUCUCAUCUUGUGCAAAUUCAAGCAAAGUGUCAAGAAAAACAACAUUCUGCUCGCCUUCUACGAUUUCUCCAUUUUUUCUUUUGUUCACAAUCUCUUGUCGUUUCUUGAUAACCUUUUCAAUGAUAGGAUCAUACUUAUUGAAAAUCUCCUCAGUUCUCUUAUCAUAGUUUCCAAACUUAAACUUGUUCAAAGGCCAAAUAAAGUUUGUAACACUAUAUUCUCCAAAGAUCUUAAGAACAUCACGAGCAAUAUCUCUAACCUCUUCGGCCUCACCCAACAUCAUGGUAGAGAUUGUGCUGUUUGUCCACUUGAGAAGCUCCUCAGUGACAUCAAGUGGCUGUUGAGUUUCAGCACUAUUAGCCAUGACCUUAAGAACCUUAAGGAUUUCUCGGCUCCUCAAUGGCCUCAAUUUGUUAACAGUGGUGGCGUUGAGCAAGUCGUUCAUGAUAAGCUUUCUAAUAAACUUCCAAUAAGGUGCAAAUGGAACCAUAGCAACAGAUUUUUCAUAGGUAAGACGACUAAUAGCAGAGGUUUGGAAUCUUGUGUUAAAGGAAGUAGCUUCAUGGGUUUGAAGGAAAAGUUUAAACAAGUCAGGAGUGGAUGCAACAACGGUAGGCAUGGAACCAAAGUAAAGAGUGUACAAAGGUCCAUAACGCUUUCCUAACUUGAUAAGAGUGUGGUGAAGAAGUGGGUUAUCCAAAAGAUGAAGAUGACCAAUGAAAGGAAGACGUGGUUUAGGGCUUGGUGGAUUUGGAAGAUGGCGAAGUGCCUUUGAUUUUGCAGUAGGUGUUGGACGUAAGUGUAUAAAAAGAGCAAUCACCAAUAAAGCAAUUGCAAUUUCCACCAACAUGGUGUAUUGUAUAUAUUUGCUUAAGUUGUUAAGGAUACUAAGAAUAGAAACAAUGUUAUUAUUGGUUACUCUUAGGUAGGUGUUGAGAACAAAUAGGUUUGAU